rnacentral:rRNA from 1 species
CAUGUCCUUUUGAAAAUGAUUUAAGGUUUAAUCUGCUCAGUGAUAAAUUAAAUUGCCGCAGUAUUUUGACUGUGCUAAGGUAGCAUAAUAAUUAGUUUCUUGAUUAGAAGCUUGUAUGAAUGAUUGGACAAGAGAUUUGCUGUCUCUUUUUAAUGGUUUUUUGAAUUUUAUUUUUAAGUAAAAAAGCUUAAAUUUUUAUAAAAGACGAGAAGACCCUAUAGAGUUUUAUAAUUGAUUUUUUAUAUAUUCUUGGAAUUAAUUUUAAAUUUUAAUUAUUUGGUUGGGGUGACAUGGAGAUUUAAUUAAUUCUUUAAAUUUUUAAUUGGCGAUUACUAAAUUUUUUAUCUAUAUUUUUAAAUAUAAAAUAAGUUACCUUAGGGAUAACAGCGUAAUUUUUUUUUAAAGUUCAUAUUGUAAGAAAAGUUUGCGACCUCGAUGUUGGAUUAAAAUUAAUUUUUGGUGCAGUAACUAAAAAAUUAGGUCUGUUCGACCUUUAAUAUU